rnacentral:rRNA from 1 species
GCUCAGGAUGAACGCUAGCUACAGGCUUAACACAUGCAAGUCGAGGGGCAGCAUGGUCUUAGCUUGCUAAGGCCGAUGGCGACCGGCGCACGGGUGAGUAACACGUAUCCAACCUGCCGUCUACUCUUGGCCAGCCUUCUGAAAGGAAGAUUAAUCCAGGAUGGGAUCAUGAGUUCACAUGUCCGCAUGAUUAAAGGUAUUUUCCGGUAGACGAUGGGGAUGCGUUCCAUUAGAUAGUAGGCGGGGUAACGGCCCACCUAGUCAACGAUGGAUAGGGGUUCUGAGAGGAAGGUCCCCCACAUUGGAACUGAGACACGGUCCAAACUCCUACGGGAGGCAGCAGUGAGGAAUAUUGGUCAAUGGACGAGAGUCUGAACCAGCCAAGUAGCGUGAAGGAUGACUGCCCUAUGGGUUGUAAACUUCUUUUAUAUGGGAAUAAAGUAUUCCACGUGUGGAAUUUUGUAUGUACCAUAUGAAUAAGGAUCGGCUAACUCCGUGCCAGCAGCCGCGGUAAUACGGAGGAUCCGAGCGUUAUCCGGAUUUAUUGGGUUUAAAGGGAGCGUAGGCGGGUUGUUAAGUCAGUUGUGAAAGUUUGCGGCUCAACCGUAAAAUUGCAGUUGAUACUGGCGACCUUGAGUGCAACAGAGGUAGGCGGAAUUCGUGGUGUAGCGGUGAAAUGCUUAGAUAUCACGAAGAACUCCGAUUGCGAAGGCAGCCUGCUGGACUGUAACUGACGCUGAUGCUCGAAAGUGUGGGUAUCAAACAGGAUUAGAUACCCUGGUAGUCCACACAGUAAACGAUGAAUACUCGCUGUUUGCGAUAUACAGUAAGCGGCCAAGCGAAAGCAUUAAGUAUUCCACCUGGGGAGUACGCCGGCAACGGUGAAACUCAAAGGAAUUGACGGGGGCCC